CAGCUUCACAUAUGAGGUGGCACCAGACAUCUAAGUGAUGGUAGCUGAAUCAGGGACUUGGAGCCCAUUGAAAUAAUCCCACUCAGCUGGCACUCUUUCUGGAGCUAAAUGCUUUUGGUCUUCACAUUUAGGUCCACCAUUUACAACUCUUCCAGUGGUAGAAAAACGGACAUUAUUAUUUUAAAAAUACUUUAUUCUAAGACUAAAGGCAGUCAGUGUAGCAGAGUGCUGUGUUAAAGACAUUGCACAGACCAUACUUCUAUACAGAUCAUAACUCACAGCUGAAUCACUCAAUGGAGCCUGUCAAAAUUUGAAGGCAAAAAACUGUAAACAGGUAGCUAAUGAGCAAUCAGCCUUGAACCUUACUUAAAGACACAAACCCUAAAAAGAAUUUAUUAUCAGGAAAGUGGAAUCACAGAAAUAUGUGAACUAGCUGCUUCAGGGUUAGGCCACCUGGAAGAGACAAGCAAGGGACACCAGUUUAUGGCAGAGAAACCCAAGACUGGAUUCUUGGAUCACAUUUGAGCUGCAGUGGACUGGCAAGGCAGAUACAACUAUGCAGCCUGUAAGACUCAGGACUGCUGCAGAAGGAGGAGGAGAGAGGAGUCCUGUUUUUCUUUCAUUUAGAUUCACUGCAUGUUUACCAAGUUCCAAAUCACUACCUGAUUCAAACCUGGAGAAGUAUACUGAAAAAUCUUGAUCUCUGUAAGAGACCUGUGCUACCAUCUGGUAGAUUCUCACAGGGAUGAAGGAUACCUGCCUCCUACUUUCUUGAGUAAAGGAAAGAGAGUAUUGUAGAAAUUAAUGAAAAUUAUUUUUCUAAUUAACUCUAUAAUAAUGAUGGAGCACCUUUUCCUAUGAGUGCAUUCAUGAGCUGGAGAUUGCCCAAAGACAGAAUUUGAGUGGUGUCUUUUUUCCUGUUUUGUUCCUUAUUUGUAAUUUUUUAGAGAAUUCUGCUUUAAAUGUGAUCAUGGGAGAGUUUCCACAGCUUGCCAGGUCAAAGAGUAUUGACUUUUUAUCUAGUAUGUAGUUUAGCUUCUUCAUUACUGUAGAAACCCCAGAAUUAGACUUGUGUAGAAAGAUUCUUUCAAAAGCCCAUGUAAAUUACAUUAAUGCUGAGCAAGACUAAUGUAGCCAGGACAAAGCACAUUACUGUAGACAAAAUAUGGUUUUAUUUAAAAUUACUCAUUGCAAAGACCUCCCCUGCCACUUAAUUCUAACUAGUUUGUUGUGUAUCAGUUCUGCAUUCUGAAUAGAGAAAUACAAUAGGGAUUACAUUAUUGUUUUAUGUAUAAGAAUAGGUACUAGAGUCAGCAGAUAUUUAAACCCAGGGAGAUGUUUUCUCUACAGAGAAGUUAGAUGCUGCAAAUACUUCUUUAAUUUCUCUUAAGAAGAUGUUAAUGGAAACUUCAUGCUGACAAUUAUUUGCAUCACGGUUUAAACUCUGCUAGACACAUUAGUGGUUUAAAUGUCAUUGACUUAUUACUAAAGUGGCAAUGGUGUUGAAAUUUCAGGAUGCUGGAUUACCCAGAGUUAUUCAGCCAAUAUUGAAGCAUAGCUCUGUAUUUAAACCUUUAUAUAUUUUUCUUAAAUGAUUAUGAAGGUAGUAUUACUGUGUAAAUCAAUAUGCUCUGGUUUUGUUGAUUCCACAGUCAGAAGAAUGAAACAAAAGGUGUGAAUUUACCCUAUUCAUCUUAACAGGUUGUUAAUGACUUCAAAGGCUGGUUGUGACCAUUUAAAUGUGAAUGCUAUUAAUCAACAGGAUAAAACACAAACACCCAGUUUAAGUCUUGGAAAUGUAAUUGCAUAGGGCAGAGGGGUCCAAUUUUGGUUACUAAAUGAAGAUGCAUGUUUAGAAAUAGAAAAAGGAGAGAGCUGGCAACCCCUGCUUCUCUGCUUUGACAAAAUUAAAGGGAAAGCUAAUGCUUCACUGAGGUCCUAGAAAUCUAUUUCUACCACAAUCACAAACUAGGUAGUCUGCAGGAAAUUAUUAACUCUCAGCAGUGCUGUCAUUUUGAUUAUUGCUACAAGACAGCAACUUACAAAAUUAAAUUUCUUUCCAAACAGUUCUCCUGUGUACUUUGACUGUAAAGUUCAUUGUAAUACCUGCCUUCCCCAGAGCCCUCCUUUUGGGAUUGGUAACGAAGGCUUUACAACCCAUUAUUUGUGUGGUAAAUUUUUAUGCCAUACAGUCCCAGCCGCUCCAACCUGUACUACGCUUGUGACACCAUAUGAUUUGGGAGAAGGGGCUGGUUCUGAUAUUUUCUCUUUGUGAAUUUGGAUAUGCAGGGUGUACCACUUUUCAAAGGCAGCAGUAUUUGGAAAGUUUUGAGGAGGGCAGCCGAAGUCAGCAACUAUGCUGACACAGUUGCUUAAUGCAUUUACUGGGGCUAUUCCAUUCUCUUCUGUGGUCCCUGCUUCUGAUUCUACUUCUUGGCCUGUCCCUGCUUUGUCCCUGUGACACUGUUCACUGGCACAGAGGGGAGAGAGCUAACUGGUCAUUGUGAGCUCCACAACAGUGUGAUUAAUAAAAACAACUAUACGUUUCAUCC